rnacentral:tRNA from 1 species
AAUUCCUUUCUAUUACCA